rnacentral:rRNA from 1 species
UACGUAGGGACCAAGCGUUGUUCGGAUUUACUGGGCGUAAAGGGCGCGUAGGCGGCGUGGUAAGUCAAUUGUGAAAUCUCCGAGCUUAACUCGGAACGGUCAAUUGAUACUGCUGUGCUAGAGUGCAGAAAGGGCAAUCGGAAUUCUUGGUGUAGCGGUGAAAUGCGUAGAUAUCAAGAGGGACACCUGAGGCGAAGGCGGGUUGCUAGGCUGACACUGACGCUGAGGCGCGAAAGCUAGGGUAGCAAACGGG